rnacentral:rRNA from 1 species
GUGGGGAAUCUUCCGCAAUGGACGAAAGUCUGACGGAGCAACGCCGCGUGAGUGAAGAAGGUUUUCGGAUCGUAAAGCUCUUUCGUUAGGGACGAACGUGCUCUUUGUGAAUAAUGAGGAGUAAUGACGGUACCUAAAUAAGAAGCCACGGCUAACUACGUGCCAGCAGCCGCGGUAAUACGUAGGUGGCAAGCGUUGUCCGGAAUUAUUGGGCGUAAAGCGCGCGCAGGCGGGAUAUCAAGUCUGUCUUAAAAGUGCGAGGCUCAACCUCGUGAGGGGACAGAAACUGGUAUUCUUGAGUGUCGGAGAGGAAAGUGGAAUUCCAAGUGUAGCGGUGAAAUGCGUAGAGAUUUGGAAGAACACCAGUGGCGAAGGCGACUUUCUGGACGAUGUCUGACACUGAGGCGCGAAAGCCAGGGGAGCGAACGGGAUUAGAAACCCCAGUAGUCC